UUUUAAUUCUUCCUAAGUUUGUGCUAAUGAGAUGACUCUUGGUAGGCCCUAGGCAGCUUCAGGAUGGGGCCAGCUGCCAGAGGAAUCAACCAUGUGGCCCCAGUCCUGACCUCCUGAGGAACUGAAGAUUGAGUUCCAUCGCCAGUGGCCAAUGAUCUUAUCAUUCAUGCCUUUGUAAUGGAGCCUCCAUAAGAACCAUAAGCAACAGAGAUUGGAGAGUUUCCAGUUUGGUGAACACAUUGAAGUGCUGGCCUGCUGAAGCUGUGAGAAAGCUCAGACUUCCAUCCCUACAUUGUUGAGAACUGGCAAUGUUACAAAGAAGAAACCCCUCAAGACUAUCCGACCAAACAUUUCGUCUCUGAGAAAUGUUCACUCACCCCAGGGUGUGGAACUGAAGAUAAACUGUUACUUUUAGAAAAUCAAGAAGAACAACAAAGCCAAAAUAUGUUAAAUAAAUUUGAAGAAGAAGAAUUAUAAAAAUCAAAGGGAGGAAAUUGUCAGGUACGGUGAGUUCCUCUUCAAAGGUGAAACCUCCUUGUUCUUUGUUUUCGGUAUCAACUUCCUUGUAUGUUCUCACCCCCAGUUACUGCUCUGUAAACCACUAUUCCCACUAGUCCUGACCUGUAACCCAC
rnacentral:lncRNA from 10 species